ACAAUCAGAAUGUGGACAAGAUCAGUAUCAAGGACGCAAGUUUGAACCAGCUGUAAACAGGUCUUCUGUCUGUGAAUAUUGAGAAGGGCUGGUGGUUGUGGACGGUUGGCUGUGGAUUGGAGACAGAUGUGCUUGUGGAAACCGCUCUUGGGUGGUGCAAAAUAGAUCAACUGCCUCACAUGGGGUUGGAAAAGCAAAACAAUGGUUCACUCCAAGCCUCCCGCGACCGUGUUGCUCUAACGGUCAUUCAGAGUCAACUGUGACCGCUCUCAAUGGCAAACACUGUUGUCUGUGGAUUCGAACCUGGCAAUCUCUGACAAAUUUGUCCCUAACCCUGUCAACGUGUUGGACCUCUUUUACUGCCAGACAUCACAAAGCCCUUGACCACUACCCAUGACAAGGUGGUGGACAACACCACAACAACCCUGGUUGCUAUCCUAGUGAAUGUUGACAACAUCCCAACACCCCUGACCACUAACACAGUCAACCGCGGAGUUAAGGAGGAGGUGACCUCCAGUCAGUCCCUCCCUUUAGUACCUGACUUAUCCUGCCCCUGUCCAGUUAAGUGGUGGAAAGUUUGGGAGAUGUGAACUCUGAUAGAGAAAUAGAUCAACCUCCACGAACAGGUUGGUGUAUUGGGGCGGCCUGUUCUGUCCUCAGACUAAAGCAAGAUGAUGUUUAAAGCUCACUAUGGAUCUACAAACAGUGUCAACUUGAAUUUGAGUGUGGCUGUGGAAGAUGGAUCCCUUCAUGAUGUAUGCAAGUGGCUGAGUACCAAUGAUCUCCGUGAUUCCAUCCCAUCAAGGUUCACAAUCUGUCUGAAGAAUGCCAACUCUAUUCAAUUGUCCACAUAGCAACAAACAUACUUUCUCUGUGUCCAGACUACUCACAUAUCUUGGCCUCUAUCACCAGCAUGAAACACAUUUUCUAAUUAAAUGUGGACUUAAUGGGUGUGGGAAAACAAAGAGAUGUUUCAGCGCCUAUCGGUCACACAUCUACCGAAACCACAGAGAGCUUUUAAGCGCCAACUUAGAUGAGAAUUGCCCUCAUGAUGAAUUUGAGACUGGAACUGAUCCCAUUGAAGAUGGCUUGAAUGAUGUAGAGAGUCUGCCAUGUUCAAGACACAGACAUCAACACUGAGCAGCAAAUUGAAGUCCUCAAAAAUAAUAUCUGUUUAUUAUUUUUGAAAAUCAGGGAAGAACACUGCAUCCCAGCUACGGUACAGAUUAGCAUUGUACAGUGAUGCCCUCAGGUUCCACCUUACAAAUAAGCAAAUAAAUGUGGAUGAAAAUGACAAUCUCAGGGACUUGCUUAAAAACUUUGCAGUAUUUGAGGAAUGCAUUAGAUAGUGGAUGCUGGAGCAUUACUGUGUGGGUGAAUCGGGCACGGUCAGGCCCAAUGAAGUACCCCUGAGCAACAAAAAAGGUAAUAAAACAAGGUCAUUUCAAUACAUCCCAUUGGUCCGCAUACUGCAAAAAAUAACAAGUAAUGUUAAGGUCUGUGCCACCUUGAAUCAAGACCAAAAGCCACACAAUGAUGAAAUUCUGAUAGACUUUACUGACAGUGAAUUGUUCAAAUCAAAUCCCACCCUAACAAAGCAGAGCCUCCGUCUGCAGUUCUAUCACAGGAGGUUGGUGGCACCUUCAUUGGGGAGAAUGGGUUUGUGAUAAUGACUGGAGCGGAACCAGUGGAAUGGUAUCAAAUACAUCAAACACAUGGUUUCCAUGGUUUCCAGGUGUUUGAUGUCAUUCCAUUGGCUCCGUUCCGGGCCAUUAUUAUGAGCCAUCCUCCCUUCACCAGCCUCCACUGAGUUCUAUGUAGAUGAAUUUGAAGUUGAAAAAACAAAAGCUUCCGAGGCACAAUCAAAACAAUCUCAGCAAAUAUUCUCUCCUCGCAUGAGCAAAACUUUUCCUCUGGUCGCAUUUGUUUCCUCUGCUUGACUACCAAGGGGGGACAUUUACUAAAAAAUCACUGAAGAGGAAUUCACCAUGCGUUACAAAGACAACUACAAGUACCAUAUGCAGGCUGCGGAAGAAAAUCCAGACAAUGCAUCGAUGUGUGGCAUCAAAAAAAGCCUGUUGCUUCUCCUCGCUGAAUCAUGUGCCUUCUCCAAUUACCUAUCAGUUUCCACCAGACGUAUUGCAUGACCUUCAUGAGGGCAUCAUACCAACAGUGCUCAGACUAGUGCUGCAACGACUGGUUCAAGAGAAGCAAAUGACACUUGCCCAGAUUGACUAUUUUAUGGCAAACAAGAUGUGUCUUCUAAACCUGUGCCACUAUCCGAGUGAGUCCUAUCUGGAAGUGCAUCAGAAAGAUUUACACUUCCAUUUAUUCCCUGAAAUGAUUAGUAGCCAAAUACGAAAUGGCAGUGCUUGGGAUCUCUACCUCCUGCUUCGAGAGAUAUCCGACAUCAUCUUGGCUCCAAUUUUAGAAAGGUCCUGGAUCCCAUAUCUGCCAGAAAAAAAAAUCACUGAAUUUAAAGCUCUCUUCCAGAAGUUGUUUCCAGGGAAGACAAUCCCAAAGAUACACUACCUUGUCCACUACCCUAGCCUGCUACUUGCCUAUGGACCUUUGAUCCACCAGUCCACCAUGUGUUGUGGAAGCAAAACACCAAUAUUUCAUGAGACUCUCAGCAGUUGUGUGAAACUUCUAAAAUAUAAGAAGACCCUGACAAAAAGACAUCAGCUUAGACAAUGCUUGGAGGAAACCAACAACGGCUGCCUUGGCAACACAACAAGACACCGUGCGGACACGAGACGUCCCACUGCAUGCACUUCCAAACUCUGACCAUGAAGUAUUAAGUGCCAGAUUCGGAGAAGCCAUCAGAGCAAAAACUGUCACCAAGACAAAGUCAAUUACAGUGAGCAACGCGUAGUACAACGUAGGACACUAUCUGGUCAUCAACACUCAUUCAGAAGACAUACCUGUGUUCAUGGAAGUGUGUGGAAUAUACCGUUUCCUUGGUGCUUGUGGGUUAAAGUACAACUUCUAGCCUGUUUAAACAGCCAUCACCACGCAUACAUGGUUCAACACAGUCAACAAUGGAUUGCUAUAAGGCCUGGUGAGGAGAUGGAUUUCCAUUCCACUAGAUGGAUACAGGGACCCAGACGGAAGAGUGUCCAUUCUACUCCGCCACUGGAUUACAGUUAGUGAAAAUGACUUAUUGAGCACAACACACUUUUGUUUCUAUUCUGAUAUGCACUGACCAGAACACUGACACCAAAUUGAUGGAGAGGCAUUGAUGUCAUUGGACCGAAGAAUGGUGGAGCAACUCAUUCCAAUAACCCAAAGAUCGACUCAACUUCACAAAAUGAAUGCUCUUUUUGUUUCUUUCUGAGCCUGAAAGCACAAAAGUAACUGUAUCAUUGUUAGUUCACAGCUGCAGCAAACAGCCCAGCAAAAUGGCACACCAAUUGGCCUUCAGCAUGACAUAUCAACUGGCCAGCAACAGGACACAUCAAUCAGCCAAAGAGUCUGGCCACCUGUGUUUAGACUUCCAGGAUUUCCAGCCGUAUUCAAAUUCAAACGGGGAGGAGAAAAUUGCGAUGAUCUCCAUCGCCCUACUGUGCACUCGAAGUGGAGGUCUCGGAUUGUGCAGGUGUUCGAACGUCAUGUGUACCUACACUUGGUAACCCGCUACCCGGCAAUACAUGGAUGUGUGCACAGCGCUCAUUCAAAAGUACCCCUCGUUGAGAGACCAGACAGGGAAGUGAUAUGAGCACAACAAGACCGUCUUCGGUCUGCUUCUCUGAUCUCAGUCCCGAUAAUCCAUCAUGGCAUUUCUCCUCUCCACAUUUUUAUUAUGGCACGACAUUAUAAAGAAAAAUGCAAAAAAAGAACGUCAGCCGCUUGCUCACGUUGCACAAGUACAAGAAAUGCAGAAGAGGUUUGGGAGGCAAGGGGAAAAAAAAUAAGCCCAAAUUACACCAAAUAUUAAGACCCGAUUUUUAAAUAGCCAAGACUCAGACUGAGGAUCCCUUCAGUCAGAAGUUACAUGUUGAAAAGAUGCAGGAGGAGUGCCAAAACAAGAGACGGAACAUAAGUUCCCUACAAGACCACAUGAAAAAGACUGAGAGAGAACUUUUUUAUAAAACAACAAGGCAUCAAGGCCAUCUUAAAACAGUACCCAGCACUCUGUGUCGUCGGCCAUUGUAAGCAGACAAAAAGUCUGAUAGAAAGAAAUGGUAAAAAGCAUAACUAAUGUAACAUAACCAGGUACUUCCAUCUGAAUCAAAGAUAUAUUGAUGAUGCAUUAGAAACAAAUUGACUUUCAGAUUUUAUGCGAGAUGAGAAGCAAAUUCGGUGUGGACUGAAACAUUCUGUCCGGAUAUGGCACAAUGGCCGACCAAAUCAGUGCAGAAACGGAGAGGAGGGGUGUGGCCGUGGAGUUGAUGAAUCUCUACACGACGGCACUUCUCUCACAAACGGAGGAGGCUCCCUAAGGUCGGAAGGUCACUGCAGCCACUUUGCUCCUCCCCUACCUUUUCAAAGAAGAUCCGAGUGGGCUGUACGUCACAGACAGGGUAUUAUUUCCCAGCAGACAAAUAUAUGAAUGCAAAUAUAGUAGUACUGAGUAAGGUGUGCUGUGCUCAGUUGUUAAUUUACUGUUUGAAAUAUGACAUGAGUAACCUUCAUUUAAAAAAUGCGUACUUCUUCAGUGUGUUAAGUUCCCAUUUACCUACCAUAAGAAUAGAGAUCCAUUUGCGGAUGAGAGCCACAUCCAACUCUUCCUGGAUGGAGAGGAGCGACUCACUGAAGAGCAGGAGGACAUCUCCAUGGGUUUGGGAGUGGCAAUGGGGGUCCGUUUCCUUUUUAAUACUGAGUAUGCAGCAUCAGGGAAAAGCACUAUGCUGUUCAUUCAGAAAUGGUGUUCUGGGAAUUGAUGUGGGGGGGUAAAUUAACAACAAAUGUUGUACUAAUGGCAAACUUUUUGCUGUAGAGCGGGAUAAGGGAGACUAGAGUUUUCUGUGAUGUCUGCAAAUUAGAUUUCUGGGACUUUUAAAGUCAAUAAAAUGAAUUUGUGACUUUACA